AACGAACGCUGGCGGCAGGCCUAACACAUGCAAGUCGAGCGCCCUUUCGGGGGUGCGGCGGACGGGUGAGUAACGCGUGGGAAUAUGCCCUUCUCUACGGAAUAGCCUCGGGAAACUGAGAGUAAUACCGUAUACGCCCUGUGGGGGAAAGAUUUAUCGGGGAAGGAUUAGCCCGCGUUGGAUUAGGUAGUUGGUGGGGUAAUGGCCUACCAAGCCGACGAUCCAUAGCUGGUUUGAGAGGAUGAUCAGCCACACUGGGACUGAGACACGGCCCAGACUCCUACGGGAGGCAGCAGUGGGGAAUCUUAGACAAUGGGGGCAACCCUGAUCUAGCCAUGCCGCGUGAGUGAUGAAGGCCUUAGGGUUGUAAAGCUCUUUCAGCUGGGAAGAUAAUGACGGUACCAGCAGAAGAAGCCCCGGCUAACUCCGUG
rnacentral:rRNA from 1 species